AGCGAACGUUAGCGGCGGGCCUGACACAUGCAAGUCGAGCGAGAAAGUGGCUUCGGCCACGAGUAAAGCGGCGGACGGGUGAGUAACACGUAGGUAAUCUUCCCUUGAGCGGGGGACAACGAGCCGAAAGGCUCGCUAAUACCGCAUACGUUUCCAGAGGCCCCGGUCUCUGGAAGGAAAGCUAGGCCGCAAGGUCUGGCACUCGAGGAGGAGCCUGCGUCGCAUCAGCUAGUUGGUGGGGUAACGGCCUACCAAGGCGAAGCCGCGUAGCUGGUCUGAGAGGAUGAUCAGCCACACUGGGACUGAGACACGGCCCAGACUCCUACGGGAGGCAGCAGUGGGGAAUAUUGGACAAUGGGCGCAAGCCUGAUCCAGCCACGCCGCGUGAGUGAUGAAGGCCUUCGGGUCGUAAAGCUCUGUGGGGAGGGACGAACCGCUGCACGUUCAUAGCGUGCAGCAUGACGGUACCUCCUUAGCAAGCACCGGCUAACUUCGUGCCAGCCGCCGCCGUAA
rnacentral:rRNA from 1 species